rnacentral:rRNA from 1 species
UACAGAGGUGGCAAGCGUUGUUCGGAUUUAUUGGGCGUAAAGGGUUCGUAGGCGGACCGGAAAGUCUGAUGUGAAAACUCGAGGCUCAACCUCGGGCUUGCAGUGGGUACGGGCAGACUAGAGUGUGGUAGGGGAGACUGGAAUUCCUGGUGUAGCGGUGAAAUGCGCAGAUAUCAGGAGGAACACCGAUGGCGAAGGCAGGUCUCUGGGCCACUACUGACGCUGAGAAGCGAAAGCAUGGGGAGCGAACAGG